rnacentral:rRNA from 1 species
CUUGCUCCCGGCUGACGAGUGGCGGACGGGUGAGUAACGCGUGGGAAUUUGCCCUUUGGUGGGGGACAACCCGAGGAAACUCGGGCUAAUACCGCAUAAGCUCCACGGAGGAAAGCGGGGGAUCUUCGGACCUCGCGCCAAAGGAUGAGCCCGCGUCCGAUUAGCUUGUUGGUGAGGUAAAGGCUCACCAAGGCGACGAUCGGUAGCUGGUCUGAGAGGACGAUCAGCCACACUGGGACUGAGACACGGCCCAGACUCCUACGGGAGGCAGCAGUGGGGAAUAUUGGACAAUGGGCGAAAGCCUGAUCCAGCAAUGCCGCGUGUGUGAAGAAGGCCUGCGGGUUGUAAAGCACUUUCAAUUGGGAAGAAAAGCCUGGGGAUAAUACCCUCGGGUCUUGACGUUACCUUUAGAAGAAGCACCGGCUAACUCCGUGCCAGCAGCCGCGGUAAUACGGAGGGUGCGAGCGUUAAUCGGAAUUACUGGGCGUAAAGCGCGCGUAGGCGGCCUGUUAAGUCAGAUGUGAAAGCCCCGGGCUCAACUUGGGAAUUGCU